GGCGUUCCCGGAGUUUGUUUCCCAGCGCGUUAGCCGCGGGUAGAAUUCAGCAUUGAACGCUCCUUUCAUGGGGAACUUCAUGUAGAGGCUGAAUUUUGAACAGACUUUUGAAAGAAGAAUAGCAGAUAAUGGUGAGAAAGAGGAAGAAGUAUCUUGUCUACCAGAACUGGUUGAAACAGGCAAACCAGAACUGAGGAAUCACCCGAUGGUCAUGGCAGAGAUAACAUUGGGGAAAAUCUGAAAAGGAAACUAUUGUAAAAUCCAACAAGAACACACGCAAUGUAUAAAACAAGGGGAC